AAACGGCAAGUACCCUUGACGAGAGGCUGUCCGCUUGAUUGCUAGAACGCAGUGUAGAUUCUACACCAUGUGGAGAAGAAUCUGCAGUCACGGACAAACUUCAACAUCAGAACCGCAAGAUGAGGUUGCAUUUACAGUUCUCCAGAUGACUCGCCGAAUAUUACGGUGUCUGCAACCAGCAAAAAGUUAUCAGAAGAAUUUGAGAAAGACAGACAGUGUGAGAAGCAGCUGUCGGAGAAUAUCCAAAGUAGGCAUGCGGAAGAGACAAAACAAUUAGUAAACUCAUUUUUAAGUGGCCUUCACACCAUUAGUGGGCAGAACACUCGACCCCACUUCAUGCCCUACCAGCAAACACCACAGUUCCUUCCACAGACUGGUUUUCUCCAACCCGAUCCCCUUCCCCAUCCACCUCCGGUUACAGACAGUGAGCUUUCUGUACACUGUAAAUUGAAGUACAGCAAAUUAAAAAAAGUUCUUGAAAUUUUACAUUUUCAUUUCAUAACUACCAAAUUUGAUCUGAUUUAUACACACUUAAUUACAA